rnacentral:misc_RNA from 1 species
AGAUACUAUAGCUAUGGUUUUAUCAACUUGUUCUGUCUUCAUUCAUCUUGUGCUGGCGAUCUCAGGGUAUCUGGAAAGAUACUAUUGGCUAAUAAGUUAUGCUUUUAAUUUCCUCUUCUUGGCUAUGCUGGCAAUGGUAAUUACAUUGGUGACGGGCGUUUGUGCAUAUUUAAAAGCAUCCUUAAGUGCAGUUGUUUAUGGCAUCGGAUUUAUCUUUUCGGUCUUCCUAUUUUAUUUGAUCAUAAGAGUAUUAUGGAGUUUCAGUUCUUUGGAUGACCAUGAAGAUGUUGUUGGUGUUAAAAAAAUUUUUUUAUGGCUGAUUGGCGGAAUCUUUUCUCGGUCGAGAAAAUUUUCAAAUGAUGAUGAUGACGAUGACGAUG